GACGAACGCUGGCGGCGUGCCUAAUACAUGCAAGUAGAACGCUGAAGGAGGAGCUUGCUUCUCCGGGUGAGUUGCGAACGGGUGAGUAACACGUAGGUAACCUGCCUGGUAGCGGGGGAUAACUAUUGGAAACGAUAGCUAAUACCGCAUAAGAGUAGAUGUCGCAUGACAUUUGCUGAAAAGGUGCAACUGCACCACUACCAGAUGGACCUGCGUUGUAUUAGCUAGUUGGUGAGGUAACGGCUCACCAAGGCAACGAGACAUAGCCGACCUGAGAGGGGGAGCGGCCACACUGGGACUGAGACACGGCCCAGACUCAUACGGGAGGCAGCAGUAGGGAUUCUUCGGCAAUGGACGGAAGUCUGACCGAGCAACGCCGAAUGAGUGAAGAAGGUCUUCGGAUCGUAAAUCUCUGUUGUAAGGGAAGAACGAGUGUGAGCGUGGAACGUACACACUGUGACGGUAACUUACCAGAAAGGGACGGCUAACUACGUG
rnacentral:rRNA from 1 species